rnacentral:lncRNA from 1 species
GGACAAGAAGAUUGCGGAGAGGACGCUCCGAGAGCACAAGGGCGACGCGGUUGCUGCAGUCCGAUUCUUGCUUCGUUGAUUCGGAAUCAUGCUGCGAGCGUGCAAAUGUUUAUUUGAUCUGUAAACCAUGCGGAUGGGGGCUGUACUUUGUCUUUUAUAUCACAGUGAAACGAUCAUUUAAGUCACCCGUGCAGAACUUAUAUGUACAUGGUGCUGCAUACUGGUUUCUGUUUCCUUCAUAUCCGUAAAAUCUGAAUAGUCAGAA